rnacentral:rRNA from 1 species
AACGCGGGGCGUGCUAAUACUGCAAGUCGAGGAAUGGAUUAAGAGCUUGCUCUUUGAAUAGCGGCGGAGGGUGAGUAACACGUGGGUAACCUGCCCAUAAGACUGGGAUAAUCCGGGAAACCGGGGCUAAUACCAGAUAACAUUUUGAACUGCAUGGUUCGAAAUUGAAAGGCGGCUUCGGCUGUCAAUUAGGAUGGACCCGCGUCGCAUAGCUAGUUGGUGAGGUAACGGCUCACCAAGGCAACGAUGCGUAGCCGACCUGAGAGGGUGAUCGGCCACACUGGGACUGAGACACGGCCCAGACUCCUACGGGAGGCAGCAGUAGGGAAUCUUCCGCAAUGGACGAAAGUCUGACGGAGCAACGCCGCGUGAGUGAUGAAGGCUUUCGGGUCGUAAAACUCUGUUGUUAGGGAAGAACAAGUGCUAGUUGAAUAAGCUGGCA